rnacentral:misc_RNA from 1 species
AAAAAUGGAGCUUUUUAAUUUGUCAGCAUUUUAAAAGAGCAACGAGGGUGAAACUACAUAUAUUCAAUGUGACAGUAUGAAAAAUAAUUGGAUACACAUUAUAAAUACAUGUACAUGCAUUUUUAUAGUGCCAAAAUCUGAUACAACAAAUUCAUUUGUCGUGGAACCAUUUCAUGUUUUUUUUUUAGUUUGUGUCAGAUAUAAUUUUUGCUACAGUAUUUUCUUUACAUAUGUUGUAAAUGUUGGGUUCUGGUAACAUAUAAUGUGUAUUAAGUUAACCUGUAAAGGUGUGUGAUAAGGUAAUCAACAGGUGUGGAAGGUAAAAACAGAUUAGAUUUCUAAUGACCUACAUAUUCUGCUGUAAUUUUACAAGCCAAAGAUUCAUGAAUCUCAAUAUAUAGAAUGACUUGUAAAGGCAGCUUAGAGUAGCUGCCUAGAAGUGGUAUUACAUUGUAACAGAUUACAUACAUACAUGUAUUUACAUUUUCCUCAGGAGAAAAAUUGUCUUUGUGAAGUCCAUUUCAAUAUAUAGAGUCUGUCUUUGGAUGUUUUUGAACUGUAGACAAAAAGAUGAUACAUGUAUCAAGAUUUAUUUUUUUCUCUUCAUAGACAUCUGUACAUUGUGUUUAAACUUUUUAAAAAUAUAAAUAUAUAUAUUCACAUGUACAUAUUUGAAUAAAUCAUAAAGAAGUGU